CAGGACAUAGAAGAUGAUGAGCAACUCUACAGAUACAAUGACUUCACACAUCGAUAUAGAUGUUAAGGACAUAGAAGAUGAUGAGCAACUCUAACCAGACAUUGACUUCAUACGUCAAUAGUAGUUGAGAAAAUAGAUGAUGAUGAGUGUCUACCAUCGAACAUUGACUAUUCUUU